UACGGAGGGUGCAAGCGUUGUUAGGAAUAAUUGGGCGUAAAGCGCGUGUAGGCGGCUUGGUAAGUCGGGUGUGAAAGCCCGGGGCUUAACCCCGGAACUGCAUUCGAAACUGACUCGCUAGAGUACCGGAGGGGAAGGCGGAAUUUCCGGUGUAGAGGUGAAAUUCGUAGAUAUCGGGAGGAACACCCGUAGCGAAGGCGGCCUUCUGGACGGUUACUGACGCUGAGACGCGAAAGCGUGGGGAGCAAACAGG
rnacentral:rRNA from 1 species